GUUCAUGUAGCUUAAAACCAAAGCAAGGCACUGAAAAUGCUUAGAUGAGUGUACUAGCUCCAUAAACA
rnacentral:tRNA from 2 species